CGUGUAGGCGGAUUUGUUAGUCAGAGGUGAAAUCCUACGGCUUAACCGUAGAACUGCCUUUGAUACUGCGAAUCUUGAGUUCGGAAGAGAGAGACGGAAUUCCAGGUGUAGUGGUGAAAUACGUAGAUAUCUGGAAGAACACCAGAGGCGAAGGCGGUCUCUUGGUCCGUAACCGACGCUAAGGCGCGAAAGCGUGGGGAGCAAACA
rnacentral:rRNA from 1 species